UGAAGUAAGUAAGGGCGUACGGUGAAUGCCUUGGUGCCAACAGGCGAAGAAGGACGCGGCAAGCUGCGAAAAUCCUCGGGAAGCUGCAAGCAAGCGAUGAUCCGGGGGUAUCCGAAUGGGGUAACCUGAUCGAGGCAAUACUCGAUCGUUCAUACCUGAAUACAUAGGGUAUGAAACGCGAAACCCGCUGAAGUGAAACAUCUCAGUAAGCGGAGGAAAAGAAAGAGAAAUCGAUUCCGUAAGUAGUGGCGAGCGAAAGCGGAUGGAGCCCAAACCGAAGGUACUCCUUCGGGGUUGUAGGACCACGAGAUAUUCGACCAUACUGGAUAGUAGAACAGCCUGGAAAGGCUGGCCGUAGAAGGUGAAAGCCCUGUAGACGAAAUCCAGCGUGGGAAUUAGUGGAAUCCUGAGUAAUACAUCACACGUGGAACGAUGUAUGAAUCAGCGCGGACCACCGCGCAAGGCUAAAUACUAGUUGGCGACCGAUAGUGAACAAGUACCGUGAGGGAAAGGUGAAAAGAACCGCUGUGAGCGGAGUGAAAUAGAACCUGAAACCGUAUGUCUACAAAGUGUCAGAGCAGAGCAAUCUGCGAUGGCGUGCCUUUUGUUUAAUGAGUCUGCGAGUCAGUGUUUGUGGCAAGACUAAGGGCUUCCGGCCCGGAGUCGCAGCGAAAGCAAGUCCGAAUAGGGCGAAUUAAGUCGCAGGUACUGGACCCGAAGCGGAGGUGACCUACCCUUGGCCAGGUUGAAGCAUGGGUAAAACCAUGUGGAGGACCGAACAGGUGAACGUUGAAAAGUUCUCUGAUGAGCUGAGGGUAGGAGUGAAAGGCUAAUCAAACCCCGUGAUAGCUGGUUCUCUUCGAAAUGCAUUUAGGUGCAGCGUCACGUGCUGAUGCGCGGGGGUAGAGCACUGACAAGGCUAGGGGGCACACCCGCUUACCAAACCUUAUCAAACUCCGAAUACCGUGCAAUGGAACGUGGCAGUGAGACAGUGGGGGAUAAGCUUCAUUGUCGAGAGGGAAACAACCCAGACCAGCAGCUAAGGUGCCUAAAUAACGCUCAGUGGAAAGGAUGUGGGAUUACACAGACAGUGAGGAUGUUGGCUUAGAAGCAGCCACCAUUUAAAAAAUGCGUAAUAGCUUACUCAUCGAGUGAUCCUGCGCCGAAAAUGAUUGGCGAUCAAGCGUUAUACCGAAGCUCUGGACUUUACCUUACGGUAGAGUGGUAGAAGAGCGUUGCAUGCGCGUUGAAGGGUGAUGGCGACUGACCCUGGAGCACAUGCAAGUGAGUAUGCAGACAUGAGUAACGUAAAGCCGGGUGAAAUCCCCGGCCGCCGUAAACCCGAGGUUUCCAGGGCAACGUGUUUCGUCCCUGGGUUAGCCGGGACCUAAGCCGAGGCCGAGAGGCGUAGGCGAUGGAUAUCAGGUUAAUAAUCCUGAGCUCGCGACCCUUAAACUGGGGGGACGCAUGAGAAAAGAUGACUAGGUUAUUGAAUUCCGAGUUGAGUCCACGGACUCAGCGCAUCAUUGGAUCGAGUGCCAAGAAAAGCCCCAGCGUAUGCUAAGCGACCCGUACCGCAAACCGACACAGGUGGGUGGGUAGAAUAUACCAAGGCGUAAGAGUGAAACCUGGUUAAGGAACUCGGCAAAUUAGCCCCGUAACUUCGGAAGAAGGGGUGCCUGCAGCGAUGCAGGCCGCAGAGAAAUGGCCCAACCGACUGUUUAUCAAAAACACAGCACUCUGCAAAGACGCAAGUCGAAGUAUAGGGUGUGACACGUGACCAAUGCCGAAAGAUUAAGGCAAGGGGUUAGCCGCAAGGCGAAGCUCUGAACCCAAGUCCCGGUGAAUGUCGGCCGUAACUAUAACGGUCCUAAGGUAGCGAAAUUCCUUGUCGGGUAAGUUCCG
rnacentral:rRNA from 1 species